GAUAAACGCUGGCGGCGUGCCUAAUACAUGCAAGUCGAGCGAACGGACGAGAGGCUUGCUUCUCUGAUGUUAGCGGCGGACGGGUGAGUAACACGUGGAUAACCUACCUAUAAGACUGGGAUAACUUCGGGAAACCGGAGCUAAUACCGGAUAAUAUUUUGAACCGCAUGGUUCAAAAGUGAAAGACGGUCUUGCUGUCACUCAUAGAUGGAUCCGCGCUGCAUUAGCUAGUUGGUAAGGUAACGGCUUACCAAGGCAACGAUGCAUAGCCGACCUGAGAGGGUGAUCGGCCACACUGGAACUGAGACACGGUCCAGACUCCUACGGGAGGCAGCAGUAGGGAAUCUUCCGCAAUGGGCGAAAGCCUGACGGAGCAACGCCGCGUGAGUGAUGAAGGUCUUCGGAUCGUAAAACUCUGUUAUUAGGGAAGAACAUAUGUGUAAGUAACUGUGCACAUCUUGACGGUACCUAAUCAGAAAGCCACGGCUAACUACGUGCCAGCAGCCGCGGUAAUACGUAGGUGGCAAGCGUUAUCCGGAAUUAUUGGGCGUAAAGCGCGCGUAGGCGGUUUUUUAAGUCUGAUGUGAAAGCCCACGGCUCAACCGUGGAGGGUCAUUGGAAACUGGAAAACUUGAGUGCAGAAGAGGAAAGUGGAAUUCCAUGUGUAGCGGUGAAAUGCGCAGAGAUAUGGAGGAACACCAGUGGCGAAGGCGACUUUCUGGUCUGUAACUGACGCUGAUGUGCGAAAGCGUGGGGAUCAAACAGGAUUAGAUACCCUGGUAGUCCACGCCGUAAACGAUGAGUGCUAAGUGUUAGGGGGUUUCCGCCCCUUAGUGCUGCAGCUAACGCAUUAAGCACUCCGCCUGGGGAGUACGACCGCAAGGUUGAAACUCAAAGGAAUUGACGGGGACCCGCACAAGCGGUGGAGCAUGUGGUUUAAUUCGAAGCAACGCGAAGAACCUUACCAAAUCUUGACAUCCUUUGACAACUCUAGAGAUAGAGCCUUCCCCUUCGGGGGACAAAGUGACAGGUGGUGCAUGGUUGUCGUCAGCUCGUGUCGUGAGAUGUUGGGUUAAGUCCCGCAACGAGCGCAACCCUUAAGCUUAGUUGCCAUCAUUAAGUUGGGCACUCUAAGUUGACUGCCGGUGACAAACCGGAGGAAGGUGGGGAUGACGUCAAAUCAUCAUGCCCCUUAUGAUUUGGGCUACACACGUGCUACAAUGGACAAUACAAAGGGCAGCGAAACCGCGAGGUCAAGCAAAUCCCAUAAAGUUGUUCUCAGUUCGGAUUGUAGUCUGCAACUCGACUACAUGAAGCUGGAAUCGCUAGUAAUCGUAGAUCAGCAUGCUACGGUGAAUACGUUCCCGGGUCU
rnacentral:rRNA from 1 species